GCUAGUCUGAGCGAGUGCGACGGAGGAGACCCCCGUCCGGGCACCGCACUUGCAGCCCCAGCAACUCCCACCCGCGAUCGCGGCUCCCCGACUCCCAAACGCCUCCUGCAGCCCGCGUGGGUCAGCGUGGGAGAGCUUCCCGGUCUCCACGGCCGGAUUGCGAACUUGGAGAGGACCUCGACUGUCUCCCCGGCCUGGAGAGUGAACAGGGUAGUGAACUCUUCUGAUUGACGAUGACACAGUGAAACUAAAGGCCACCACCAAAACUAUCCGCUCGCAUCCCGAGUCUGAACAUUAAACCUGUUUCCACCAGCCAUGGCUAAGAGCGCAGAGGUCAAGCUGGCCAUAUUUGGAAGAGCAGGCGUGGGCAAAUCAGCGAUUGUGGUGAGAUUUCUGACCAAACGGUUCAUCUGGGA
rnacentral:lncRNA from 1 species